AAAUUGAAGAGUUUGAUCAUGGCUCAGAUUGAACGCUGGCGGCAGGCCUAACACAUGCAAGUCGAACGGUAACAGGAAGCAGCUUGCUGCUUUGCUGACGAGUGGCGGACGGGUGAGUAAUGUCUGGGAAACUGCCUGAUGGAGGGGGAUAACUACUGGAAACGGUGGCUAAUACCGCAUAACGUCGCAAGACCAAAGAGGGGGACCUUCGGGCCUCUUGCCAUCAGAUGUGCCCAGAUGGGAUUAGCUUGUUGGUGAGGUAACGGCUCACCAAGGCGACGAUCCCUAGCUGGUCUGAGAGGAUGACCAGCCACACUGGAACUGAGACACGGUCCAGACUCCUACGGGAGGCAGCAGUGGGGAAUAUUGCACAAUGGGCGCAAGCCUGAUGCAGCCAUGCCGCGUGUAUGAAGAAGGCCUUCGG
rnacentral:rRNA from 1 species